UCAUUGGUUCUCGCGCCGGCUGCCGGCCAGGCGAUGACCGCUAGAAAGGCGGAAGGACGGCCCAGGGCUUGGUGGCUGCGUGCGUGCCCCUAGUGGUGGGAGAAUUAGGUCCGAGGCUCCACGCUACGUGAUCUCCCCAAGUUUCUCCAGCCUCAGGCCCUGGGGUCACCGCCCCUAAGCGGAGACCUGGAGGGGGAUGGAAUCCAGUACUUCAAGGAAUGAGGAGAAAAGGGGUAGCCGGCUGUCCCAAGCUGCAACAUCCUUGGGUGGUGGUUCGCUCUGACAGAAACCGUACCCACACCAAGGCACACCUCCUGCCAUUCCCCCCGUGACAAGGGAGCUCUGCCCGGCAGCUUCACGUCUGGAGGAUGAGCCAGCUUUCUUGGGUGCUGCCUUUGGCCUCUCAUACCCUCCCCUCCCCGCCAUUCUGUCUCUCUAGAACUUGUCUCAGGGCUCCUCUUCCACAACUCAUUAGUCCCUUUGGUUUGUGUGGGGACUCCUGGUCAUGAGCAGCAUCACCCCUGAAGCCUCCAAAAUGUUCUGGAACCAUCACACACCUUUUCACCCUCAGCUGGCAAGGUUGCCACCACAAGACCAGGCUUAAAUAAAGAGACAGAGAUCCUU